AAUGCAUGAUGACAAGCUGCUUCGGUCCUAAAUGAUGGUUGCUGAUUACUUAUGAGAUCAACUGACCCCCCCCCCCCUU